rnacentral:misc_RNA from 1 species
AUGACUAAUCCCAGCUGCCAAGUAAGUAAAUGGGAAAGAAAGGAGUUUAGUUUAUUUACAGCAUUAUGGACUGCUUAAAUGACAUGCCACGUAAAGAAAACAGAAAUGAAAACCAUUGCAUUAAGGAUACCAAGGCACAGAAGGAGAAAAAUUAAACCUAGAAGGCCUGAGACCUAACUUCAAUUGAGACACAAAACAUCUCCUCAUUUAGAUGGCACACUUAUGUGUAAUGAUGAACAAGGUGAAUAGUUAUAAUGUCUUCAAGCUGACAUGCGAAUGUAAGAAAGUAUUGAAUUCUAAAGUUUUACAUGCCUAUCUUAAAACAAACAGAAGCGAUUACAUGUCUGUUGUUAGAAGUCAGCAAACCAUGUGAUCAAGGACAAGAAAUUAGCCAUCUAAGAAAAAACCAAUAAUAAAAAUUUAUAUGCUUUCUGUUGGUAGUUCUGGCCAGACCUCUGGUGAGCAGCAUGAGAUCAAUGGGUUCUCCAUGCUGUUAUGAAUAUGCAGCAAAUCAGAUAUUUUCAGCAAGUCUGUAAAAGGUUUCCAAAUGGGAAAAAGAAGUCGUAAAACUGAUUGCAUAAAAUUGAUUUCUUCCCUUAGUUAUUCAGAUUUUUGUCUUUUCCUUAUUUAGUUUUCCUUAUUUACUUUUCUUAAUUCAAGUAGUAUUUAGGUUUCCUAAU